AUGGCUAAAGAUGGGGAGGCACUCGAAGGGAUGAGCCCCUACUCUGGGGAGAGAGUAGAGGGCAUGUUGGGCGCUGCUGCUGGGGGGGAUUACGACGUGGGCUUGCCGGAGCUACUGCUGGCUAUUCCUGCUAGAGAGAGAGAGAGAGAGAGAGAGAGAGAGAGAGAGAGAGAGAGAGAGAACAGAGAAGAGAGAACAGAGAACGGAGAUCAGAGAGAUGGAUUCGAACGCCUACUGAUCUGGUCUUGUGGAGAAAAAAGAGAUGGGUCAGGAAGAGAGAGAGAGCAGAGAGAUGCAAGAUAG
rnacentral:rRNA from 1 species